AGCGGAGGAAAAGAAACCAACAGGGAUUGCCCCAGUAACGGCGAGUGAAGCGGCAACAGCUCAAAUUUGAAAUCUGGCCUCGGCCCGAGUUGUAAUUUGCAGAGGAAGCUUCUGGUGCGGUCCGUCCCGAGUCCCCUGGAACGGGGCGCCGUAGAGGGUGAGAGCCCCGUACGGACGGAUACCAAUCCUGUGUGAAGCUCCUUCGACGAGUCGAGUAGUUUGGGAAUGCUGCUCAAAAUGGGAGGUAAAUUCCUUCUAAAGCUAAAUACCGGCCAGAGACCGAUAGCGCACAAGUAGAGUGAUCGAAAGAUGAAAAGCACUUUGAAAAGAGGGUUAAACAGCACGUGAAAUUGUUGAAAGGGAAGCGCUUGUGACCAGACUUGCGCCAGGCUGAUCAUCCGGUGUUCUCACCGGUGCACUCGGCCUGGCUCAGGCCAGCAUCGGUUCCCGCGGGGGGAUAAAGGUCCCGGGAAUGUAGCUCCUCCGGGAGUGUUAUAGCCCGGGGCGCAAUGCCCCCGUGGGGACCGAGGUUCGCGCAUCUGCAAGGAUGCUGGCGUAAUGGUCAUCAGCGACCCGUCUUGAAACACGGACCAAGGAGUCAAGGUUUUGCGCGAGUGUUUGGGUGUCAAACCCGCACGCGUAAUGAAAGUGAACGUAGGUGAGAGCUUCGGCGCAUCAUCGACCGAUCCUGAUGUCUUCGGAUGGAUUUGAGUAGGAGCGUUAAGCCUUGGACCCGAAAGAUGGUGAACUAUGCUUGGAUAGGGUGAAGCCAGAGGAAACUCUGGUGGAGGCUCGCAGCGGUUCUGACGUGCAAAUCGAUCGUCAAAUCUGAGCAUGGGGCGAA
rnacentral:rRNA from 1 species